rnacentral:lncRNA from 1 species
AUGGGGCAGGCAGUGACGCGCUGCCUCGGAGCCAGAGCCCGCGCAGCGCCCUUCAAGGCGAUGGACGGCCGAGCCCCGCGCGUGCAGGACGCUCCGGCGGCGCUCCCGCCGGCCGCACCCGCAGGGAGAAAACCAAAAGCCAAGGCACCACUUCCUCCAGCUGAGACCAAAUGCCUUGAUGCCUCUUCAGUUGAUGAUUCUGUAGAAUCUUCUGCUUUUAUCAUGGAUCAGAAAGAGAACAUGAUGGAUAAAGACAUUGAACUCUUGGUGGUUCUACCUGGAGAUAUUAUCAAGUCUACUACUGUUAAUGGCAGUAAACCUAUGAUGGACUUGUUGAUUUUCCUCUGUGCGCAAUAUCACUUAAAUCCAUCAAGUCACACAAUUGAUCUGCUCUCAGCUGAAAAGAACCCCAUUAAAUUUAAGCCAAACACACCAAUAGGAAUGUUGGAGGUGGAGAAAGUAAUUUUAAAGCCAAAAACUCUGGAUAAGAAAAAACCUACACCUCUAAUACCAGAGAAAACUGUGAGAGUAGUGAUCAAUUUUAAGAAAACGCAGAAGACAAUAGUGAGAGUUAGCCCACACGCACCACUUCAAGAACUUCUCGCCAUUAUAUGCAGCAAAUGUGAGUUUGAUCCAUUACACACACAGUUGCUGAAGGACUAUCAGUCUCAGGAGCCCCUUGACUUGACAAAAUCUCUUAAUGAACUGGGACUGAGAGAAUUAUAUGCCAUCGAUGUCAGCAAAGCCACUUCUGUUACUGCCUUCAAUAAGUCAUCUUUACAAGAGUCCUGCCAAAUAUCACAAAACCUAGACCUUAUGAAGGAUAAAGAAAGUAAAGGGAUUUUCAGCUUAUUUCAACGCAGUAAGAAAAAGCGGGAGCAAACUGUCAGCGCCCCUGCGACUCCUCUAGUAAGUAAGCACCGGCCAACUUUUACAAAGAGCAAUACCAUUUCCAAGCAGUAUAUUUCAAACACCCUGCCGUCAGAUGCUCCCAAGAAGAGGCGUGCUCCACUGCCUCCAAUGCCAGGGCCUCAGAGUGCCCCCCAGGACCCUGCACACAUUCAGGAGAGGCCAGCCUCUUGUAUGGUGAAAUCCCCGAGUGUGGAUGAAACAGAGGAGAGUUCCUAUGGAGCAGGCAGGGUGAGGACGGGUUCUCUGCAGCUCAGUAGCACAUCAGCUGGGAAUUCAUCUUUGAAAAGGACAAAGCGAAAAGCACCUUCCCCGCCCUCGACAACAGUCCUGCUGCAAAGCAAUGAGAACAGUCAUGUGACUGCCACACAGUCAGUACCUGCAGUUCCUACAGACAGUGGCAUAGAAGUGAGCUCUUCUGAGGGCCUGUCCAGCCCAGAAGCCUCCCUUGGCCCUGGGAACGAGCAGUGCGCUGUGUCCCAGCUGCCCGCUGAAGCCCCUGUCUCGGGGUGCCCUGGAACGCCUGAGGCUGCUGCCACAUCUCUGCCCUCUGGAAUAAGCUCUGAUUAUAGCCUUGAAGAGAUAGAUGAAAAGGAAGAACUGAGUGAAAUGCCUAAAGAUGAGGCUGAAAAUACUUUUCUGAAGUCACAAGACAUUCCUACUGUAUCUACUGAUAUAAUAAAUACACUGAAAAAUGAUCCUGACUCAGCCCCUGGCAGUGCUACUGGAGAGUCCUCACAAAACUCCAAAGAAGAAAAACAAGGAACUAGAAACACAGAUGAACAAAGGCCACACAUUGUGGUAUAUAAUUCAAGCGACAAAGAGACGGUAGUUGACAGUGUAAGAAACUUUAAGUCACUGGACCCAAACCAAGAGAAAGCAGAUCAACAUGAAAUAAUUGUCAUUCCAACAAACAGAGAAAAUAAUAUGAAAAAUGGAGUGAGGGGAACAGAAAUCAAUGUAGCAGGCGUUGCCAAAAAUAACAACGUGGACAUAGAAGUUGACAGACUAUCAAAUUAUCAGGCAUAUAAAACUGAUACUGCUGGAUGUUACAAAGAAAAUCUUUCUGUUUCAUCAGCACCAGAUCAAAACCUGAUUCAACCCAGUGCAGAAAAGACAAAAAUGCAAGAUGCGGCAAUUCAGACAAUCCCUUCCUGUGACAGUUUUGAUGGGGAUCAGCAAGAUCAUAAUUUGUCUGACGUCAAAGUUGAUGAAAGUGUGCAAACUUCAAGUAACAACAAAUCAACUCAACGCUUAUCUUUGAGCCCACAAGAUUCUGUAGAUAUCUCAGGAGAAUUCAGGAGUCAGGGCCCCCUUGUACAUACAGAGGAGCAACUCACCAUAAAAGAUCCAUCUUGUGCAGGUGGUAAUGACAAUCUUUUGCCUCCUGUAGAUGGAACUGAUAAAAAUUCAACAGCUUCUUAUGUAAAGAAUUAUCCAUUUUACAGACAAGAUUAUAUUCCCAAGCCAAAACCUUCAAAUGAAAUUACAAGAGAGUACAUACCCAAAAUUGGGAUGACUACUUAUAAAAUAGUGCCUCCCCGAUCCCUAGAAAUAUCCAAAGAUUGGGAAUCGGAAACCAUAGGGUAUAAAAAUGAUCAAGAGAUACAUACUUUAGGGAAAAAGGACACUUAUGAGAAUGUGAAAGAAACGACAGUCCAAACAGAAGAUCUCCUCAUUUCUGAAAGCCCAAAGGAGUCACAAGCAGACCUGAAAUCAAAGCCUACCCUGAGAACAGAGCAGCAGAUGCAAAGUGAGGAGAGCUUAACCCGCAGCAGAAUGGUGAAUCCUCUGAAACCUCCCAGAAUGACGAGUGACACUGGCACGGCUCCUUUUGCGCCAAAAUUGGAAGAUAUAAACAAUAUUUUGGAGUCAAAAUUUAAAUCGCGGGUUUCAAAUCCCCACUCCAAACCAAGCGCUUUUUUCUUGCAGAUGCAAAAAAGAGUUUCAGAUCACUAUGUGACAUCUGCAGCCGCCAAGAGUGUUCAAGCUGCCUCUAAUCCUGCUCCAAAGGAAUUAAUAAAGAAAGAGGUGGAAAGAGAUACAAUACCUCCUCCAGAGCCAGCUCUUUCUCCCUUAAGUAAAACUAUUCAAUCUCUUCCACAGACACACAUUCAAAACACUGAUGAUGAUAGCAAUCAGAAGCCUACUGAAACCUCUCCUCCUGUGGCCUCUCCGCCGCCUCCACCUCCCCCUCCUCCCGUGGCCGCCCCGCUUCUCCCUCCUCCCGUGGCCUCCCCCCUUCCCCCUCCUCCCGUGGCCUCCCCCCUUCCCCCUCCUCCCGUGGCCUCCCCCCUUCCCCCUCCUCCCGUGGCCGCCCCGCUUCCCCCUCCUCCCGUGGCCUCCAAACCGGUUCCUCUGCCCAAGAGUCAGUUAGCAAUGCUGAAUCUGAGAACUCUGAAGACUUUUGGUGCCCCACGACCAUACUCCAGCUCUGCUCCUUCACCGUUUGCCCUCGCUGUGGUGAAACGGUCACAGUCUUUCAGCAAAAGCCCUACAGAGUCAUGCAGCGAGGAGGUCAAGGUUGCCUCUGCCAGAACUCCAACUGAUGCAGAGAAAGGGAAGAUUCCUUCUGUAAAUACAUCUGGGAACAUGCCACAACUAGGUGUGAGUGAUAAGGAAAAUAACUCUGCGCAUAAUGAACAGAAUCCUCAAAUACCAUCUCCAACUGACUGCCCGUCGGUCACCCUUAAGAGGCAAAGUUCUGUGACAUUCCAAAGCUCUGACCCAGAACAGAUCCGACAGAGCUUGCUGACUGCAAUUCGUUCUGGAGAGGCUGCUGCCAAACUGAAAAGGGUUACAGUUCAAUCAAAUACAAUAUAUGUGAAUGGAAAGUCAAGACUCAGCCGUUCUGUGUCCCUUGAUUCCCCGGGUAACCGUUAAAUGUUGCCCUGCCAUGCCACACUUCACCACCUCUGCUGCGCAGAACAACUUCAUACUGAUGGAGAAUGUUAGCAAAUGUAUAUUGAGAUAUACACUAAUAUAUUAUCUAUUAAAACCUAAGAAUUUGUGCUGUGACUUUUAAUGCCAAAAGAAGAAUUAUCAGAAUUUAUAAUUUAUAAUAAUAAGUUUGGCCUUUUUUGCCUUAAGAACUGAAUGUGCUGCUUCAGAACUUUAAGACAAGGUGUUGAUAACUCAUUUCUUCAAAUGAGAAAUAGUCACUUUUUGUUGAUUUCAUUUAUUUUCCACUUAUUAACACAUUAUCUACAAUGGUGACUUAGACAAAAGGAUAAAUUAGGAUUCAGACUUAUUUAUGUGACACCUAAAUAGCUAGGCAAACAUAGAUCUGACAUUUGCUGUCUCAAUGUUACAGUUUAAUUGGAAAUGUUUUUAAGUUAUAUUAAAGCCUGUUUGUGCUGAAA